UUGUUGUUUUAUAUAUAUAUAUAUAUAUAAUUAGCUGAUGAGCUUAAUUUGUGAUUAGUUUCUAGGGUUUCUGUGAAAUUGAAAAUAAUAUACUGAAUUUUACGGGGGUUUUGUUGAUUGGCCUUGGUUGAGGUUCUCAUGAUCCUCAGGUAUUAAUUGGGCUGUUAUUUUGAUGUCUUUUGAUGAUUCAUAUGUUAUGUGGUAGAUUACUGUUCAAUUGGAUUUUUUUUUUUAAAGUGGUUUCAUCCAAAUAUCUGAUGAAUGCCUUAUAAUUUUUGUAAUUUUGUUAUGUGUUUUGGGCCAGCCAUGCAAUACUGGUUUUGUAUAAGAAAUUCCACCAGAGGGCGCCGAAAUCAUUGAGAAGGUGGGAGAUGUGUGGGCAAGUUAAGGCGGUGGUUAAAAUAGAAAGCGAGGAAGAAAUGCUUGUUUUACAAGAGAGAGCAAAGGCAUUAAAGUUACCGACUCACAUAACAAUUGGUGCUGGAAGAACAUAGAUUGCACCAA